UUGCUGACAGGGAGUCUGAAGCGUGGGACAUGGACCGUUCACUGGGAUGGCAAGGGAAUUCUGUCCCUGAGGACAGGACUGAAGCUGGGAUCAAGCGUUUCCUGGAGGACACCACGGAUGAUGGAGAACUGAGCAAGUUCGUGAAGGAUUUCUCAGGAAAUGAGAGCUGCCACCCACCAGAGGCUAAGACCCGGGCAUCCAGGCCCCAAGUCCCGGAGCCAAGGCCCCAGGCCCCGGACCUCUAUGAUGAUGACCUGGAGUUCAGACCCCCCUCGUGGCCCCAGUCCUCUGACAACCAGCAGAUGACAAGGAGUAUGUGGGCUUUGCAACCCUUCCCAACCAAGUCCACCGAAAGUCCGUGAAGAAAGGCUUUGACUUUACCCUCAUGGUGGCAGGAGAGUCUGGCCUGGGCAAAUCCACACUUGUCAAUAGCCUCUUCCUCACUGAUCUGUACCGGGACCGGAAACUCCUUGGUGCUGAAGAGCGGAUCAUGCAAACUGUGGAGAUCACUAAGCAUGCAGUGGACAUAGAAGAGAAGGGUGUGAGGCUGCGGCUCACCAUUGUGGACACACCAGGUUUUGGGGAUGCAGUCAACAACACAGAGUGCUGGAAGCCUGUGGCAGAAUACAUUGAUCAGCAGUUUGAGCAGUAUUUCCGAGAUGAGAGUGGCCUGAACCGAAAGAACAUCCAAGACAACAGGGUGCACUGCUGCCUGUACUUCAUCUCACCCUUCGGCCAUGGGUAUGGUCCAAGCCUGAGGCUCCUGGCACCACUGGGUGCUGUCAAGGGAACAGGCCAAGAGCACCAGGGGCAGGGCUGCCACUAGCAGGUGGUCACAGAUUCCUGUUCCCCAGGCUCCGGCCAUUGGAUGUUGAAUUCAUGAAGGCCCUGCAUCAGCGGGUCAACAUCGUGCCUAUCCUGGCUAAGGCAGACACACUGACACCUCCUGAAGUGGACCGCAAGAAGCGCAAAGUGAGGGAAGCUGGUGGUGGGAGGGGAUCAGGUGGGCUUCUAGAAAGGAUGUGGUCCCCAGAACUGUGGGCCCCUCAUCUGUUUGUCAGAUCCGGGAGGAGAUUGAGCAUUUUGGAAUCAAGAUCUAUCAGUUCCCAGACUGUGACUCUGAUGAGGAUGAGGACUUCAAAUUGCAGGACCAAGCCCUAAAGGUGGGGCCACUCUAGGGCAUCCCAUUCCCAUCUUGUUUCUUCCGGGUAGAAAAAGGGAGUAGAAUUCUAUAUUCAGGCUAUCAGGGUGGGAAAGGACCCUGGCUUCCUAGAAUGAAGCAGAGAAGAUGACGAUACAGGUGGAAAGAAAGAGGUGAGAACAGAGGGUGCUGACAGGCACCCCUAACCUCUUCCAGGAAAGCAUCCCAUUUGCAGUAAUUGGCAGCAACACUGUAGUAGAGGCCAGAGGGCGGCGAGUUCGGGGUCGACUCUACCCCUGGGGCAUCGUGGAAGGUAAAGCACUGAGCCUGUGACCAGGGUAUCUCCUUGCCCUCAGUGGCUCUCCCCUACCUAUGCCUCUGGCUGACCCCUAGCCUUGCUAUGCAGUGGAAAACCCAGGGCACUGCGACUUUGUGAAGCUGAGGACAAUGCUGGUACGUACCCACAUGCAGGACCUGAAGGAUGUGACGCGGGAGACACACUAUGAGAACUACCGGGCACAGUGCAUCCAGAGCAUGACCCGCCUGGUGGUGAAGGAACGGAAUCGCAAGUAUGACCAGAAGCCAGGACAAAGCUGGCAGGGGGAGAUCCCAAGCCUAGCCUUGGGUGAGACCAAGCCCUACUUUUGUUCUUCUAUAGGCCCUGGGCUCAAUCUAAGCGGGUGCUGGGGUCCUCCUCGCCUUAUCAACCCUUUUCUCCCUUUAGCAAACUGACUCGGGAAAGUGGUACCGACUUCCCCAUCCCUGCUGUCCCACCAGGGACAGAUCCAGAAACUGAGAAGCUUAUCCGAGAGAAAGAUGAGGAGCUGCGGCGGAUGCAGGAGAUGCUACACAAAAUACAAAAACAGAUGAAGGAGACCUAUUAACUGACUUUCAGCCCUGGAUAUUUAAAUCUCCUCCUCUUCUUCCUGUCCAUGCCGGCCCCUCCCAGCACCAGCUCUGCUCAGGCCCCUUCAGCUACUGCCACUUCGCCUUACAUCCCUGCUGACUGCCCGGAGACUCAGAGGAAAUAAAGUUUAAUAAAUCUGUAGGUGGC
rnacentral:sRNA from 1 species